CCACUGUGAGAUGGGCAUUUGCGGACCCCCUGGGCUCUAUCUGGGCCUUUACCAAGAUUAAGUGACUGAGGGGGCCCUCAGGUGGCUUGUGCGCCUGGGGGAAUGCCCGAUACAUGAGCUUUGGAGUUGUGGGUGAGUUUGACCACUCCCCCACUACACACAGGUCAUCAGUUUUAGUUGGCCUACGGGUUGUCUGGGCUGCUUGAGAUCCCCAGCCCGCUGUGCUGUGCCAGGUGCGAGGCUGCCCUGUCCUGGACCUGGGAGACAAGAGCAGAGAAUGGCAGCUCCAGGAGCAUCGGGGGUGAGGGCUGGCCCAGCGUCCCCACCACUGGGCGAGGCGCCCACAGCAGGGUUUCUUGGGGCCUGGGCUUCGGCAUCGCGGGAUACAACUCAGGAACAUCUUGCUACGAGACUCUAUCCAGUCACCACAGCUGAGAGCAGGGAAGUUCCUUGUCUCUCCUGCACCCCGGAUGGCUCCUUGGAGAGCCCCUGUCAGACCUCAGACUGCUGCUCAACAGGGCGCCACGUUGAAUGUCAGGUGAGGAUGCCUCUAGACGCCUGCCCUGUUGCCCACAGCCUCUGGGGGCUACACCCGGUGUCUGAAGUCCUUUGUUGAUGUUGAGUAGGAGAGUGUCUCUCCACCAGCCUGGGCCAUGUCCAGGAUCAACAAGAAGUAGUUACAAAAGCAUGACUUCGUGCUUUACCCCCCAGAGUGGGAGUGAAAUGUCUCAGGGGGCACCUUGUAGCCUAAUGUGUAGGAUUUGGGCGAAAUGGGGAGGGGAGAUGUGGAACAGGGGCAGGGAUUGUAAACUGCCUAGAGCUUGUUUUCCUGAUGUGCCCGGGGAGCAGAAUUUUUUACACUGAACUCAGAGUGGCUGGACCGCCACAAACCACCACCGAAGCAGCAAGAAGCCAGUUUGAGUCAGAUCUUGCAGACCUGAGCUAGGCUUUCCUCACAGCGCGGUGCAGUUCUCCGCCAGGGGAGGAGACGGCUGCCAUUUGCUGAACUGAGGAAGUAUGAAGAUUGGCCCGGGCGGAAGCAGGAGGGGCCCUCUGGUCUGUGGCUGGCCUUGGCCAUGCCCUUCGCCCUGCUGCAGAAGCCCAGGCAGACGAUGGGGGUAGUUUCUUUGGGGGAACCCUUCUUCCCAUGGCCUACUUUUCACUUCGGCAUGUGGGGACGCCUGAAGCCAGUGGACCCUGACUGCGGACACCCGGAUGUGCUGCCUCCCAGCGUCCCUGGCGAGUCCCGAAUGGGCCACAGCAGCGGGUAACGGAAAGAGGAGGCCGCCAUGACGAUGGCGUCCUUUCCUCCCUCUGGGACGCCAUUUUGGAAACAUUUUCUUCAUCAGGCGUGCUUGGAGGUUCCUGGUUACAACUUGCGGUUUCAGUCUCAUCUGAGUUGAAGUCUUGGCCCAGACGUGUGCUGGCUGAGGUGUUGUUGGCAGGACAUUUUAGUAUCCGUCCAGGCUCUGUGCUGUGAGAUCCUCUUCCAGUCUCCAAGAAGACCUUGACCUCAGCAUCCUUCUGGCCCUAGGGUGGUCAACUGGCAUGAUGUCCACACAAGUGAAGGAACAGUUGCUUCUGGAUCACUCAGAUCACUUUCUGUGGACAGGUUUCUUGACCUACAAUUGACAGAACAUGAUGUCAUCAGUGAAAGGGGCCUGACACACGUCCUGCCUGCUGGCGAUCCGCAGCCUUCUGUGCAUUGCCAGGCGCGAGGCUGACCUGUCCUGGCCCUGGGAGACAAGAGCAGAGAAUGGCAGGUCAUCAGUGAAAGGGGCCUGACACACGUCCUGCCUGCUGGCGAUCCGCAGCCUUCUGUGCAUUGCCAGGCGCGAGGCUGACCUGUCCUGGCCCUGGGAGACAAGAGCAGAGAAUGGCAGGUCAUCAGUGAAAGGGGCCUGACACACGUCCUGCCUGCUGGCGAUCCGCAGCCUUCUGUGCAUUGCCAGGCGCGAGGCUGACCUGUCCUGGCCCUGGGAGACAAGAGCAGAGAAUGGCAGGUCAUCAGUGAAAGGGGCCUGACACACGUCCUGCCUGCUGGCGAUCCGCAGCCUUCUGUGCAUUGCCAGGCGCGAGGCUGACCUGUCCUGGCCCUGGGAGACAAGAGCAGAGAAUGGCAGGUCAUCAGUGAAAGGGGCCUGACACACGUCCUGCCUGCUGGCGAUCCGCAGCCUUCUGUGCAUUGCCAGGCGCGAGGCUGACCUGUCCUGGCCCUGGGAGACAAGAGCAGAGAAUGGCAGGUCAUCAGUGAAAGGGGCCUGACACACGUCCUGCCUGCUGGCGAUCCGCAGCCUUCUGUGCAUUGCCAGGCGCGAGGCUGACCUGUCCUGGCCCUGGGAGACAAGAGCAGAGAAUGGCAGACUCACCAUGGCCGUUUUCUGUUGGAAGCACCAGGAGCGUCGGGGGUGAGGGCUGGCCCAGCGUCCCCACCACUGGGCGAGGCACCCACCGCAGGGUUUCUUGGGGGCUGGGCUUGGGCAUCGCGGGAUACAACUCAGGAACAUCUUCCUGCGAGACUCUAUCCAGGUGAGCUGGUUCAGACUCAACUCUGGAAUGUUGGGGUUGUUGCCGGGCCCCCCAGGUCUCCAGGUGAGGUCACUUCCUGUGGCUCCUCAACUGAGCCCCCUCCUCUCACACAAGAUGGCUGCCGAGUCCCAGCGGGCGCUGCCUGCUGCACUUCUAAGCCAUGCCCUGUGCACACUGUCCCCCGUCGCACCAACAGGGGGAAGCCUCCGCCUGCCACAGCAGGUGUGGGUCCAGCCUUUGUCACAGCUGGGCUAGACCUGUUCCCCCCUGCUUGAGGGCUUCUCACCCUGCAUGGUCAUUGUCCCUGUCAAGACGCCCCAGCCUCCCGUGUGGUCCCUGGGGAUCGUGUCCCAGUGAAGCUGGCGCCCUCAGCUGCCCAGCUGUGGACCCUGAGGAGCAAGAGCUCCCAUCACACCCUGAGACCGACCGGGAGCCGCUCCCUGUGCAUUGGGAGCCCUGUCCCAGCCCCUGAAGUGUGGCUCCUCCCAGCCACAGGCACCUGGAGGGUGGUUCUUCUCUCUCAAAGCCCAAAACGAGGCUGCGACCACCCAGACUCAGUUGCCCCGUGUGCACCUGGGGCUGUCUGCUCUAGGGAGCUGAUGGUCAGUGGAGAACUGAGUGCUCCUAGCUCUGGCCUGCACCCCGGAGGAGUCGUGGGGUGGUCCUUUGGGUCCUGCAGGAUCUGGGGCUUUAGCAGUGCACAGUGGUUCUUGAAGCUCAUUCAGACUCCCAGGGGAGUUGGUUGGGCUCAGGGCCGGCUCUCUGAGGACCAGGGUGAUGACUACCGUGGCCCUGCACUUGCUGAUUGUUCCCCAGGGCUGGUAGGGAUCGUGCCAGCCAUCUCUGGGGUCUGGGCCUGCCAUGAGCCUGAGGGAGGUCAGUGUGAGGAGCCAGACGGGAUAGGUGGCAUGUGUGAGAGAGUGUUUCCAUCCAGCGUCCUGAGGAGACCCUAGACACCGGGGCUGUUCCGUGUUGGGUUUGGACAGGGGCGUGGGGAGAGAUCAGGAGUGGUGUUGGGCGUGGUUCAGUGAGGAAUGUCUGGGGAGUAGAUGGCCGUGGUGGGGACACAUAGUGUGCGUGUCCUUCCUGUUAGCUAAUGGCUAGUUCCCUGUUGUGGGAAUGUCCUUCCCUGAAAGAUGAGGGACAGGCUCAUGUGCCGGGGUUGGUGCUGACGGUGGCAGCACUGGCGAUGUCGAGUGGUUUAGAUGGCAGUGGCCCGUGGCCCUUCCCUGUGGGGAGCUCUCCUGUCCCCCAACCAGAGCCUGAAAAGAUGCUAUUUGGGUGUACUCUCGAUAGUAAAGACCUCCUGUGAAAAGUUUCUGGGAGGAGUUAAGCUGCUGCUGUGCUUUGAAUACUCUUUUCCUUCUUUCUCUGAGAAGUAGAGUGAGACACAGAGAGGGAGAGACAGAGAGGUCUUCCAUGUGCUGGUUCAAUCCGCUACUGGCCACAGUGUCCUCAAAUGGGCUAAUCGGAGGCCAGGAGCUGAGAGCGUCUACAGGUCUCCGGCGGCAUGGGUGCAGGGGUCCAAGGACUUGGGCCAUCUUCAUUGCUUUCGCAGGCCAUCACCAGGGAGCUGGGUGGAAGUGGAGCAGCCAGCACACAAGCCAGUGCCCAUAUGGGAUGCUGGCGCCGCAGGUGGAGGCUUAACCUACUGCUCUACACUGCCGACCCAGGAGUGCAGCCACUUUCAUCUAAGUUUGGGCUCAGGGUUUUUUGUUGUUGUUGUUAAGAUUGAUUUAUUUACUUCACUGGCAGAGUGACAGGAGAGAAAGAGGCAAGAGAGACAGAGAGAGAGAGGGAGAGAGAGAGGGAGAAAGAGAGACAGAGAGGUCUUUGAUCCAAUGGGUCACUCCCCAAAGGGCCACAACAGCCGGUGCUGAGCUGAUCCAAAGCCAGGAGCCAGGAGCUUCUUCUGGGUCUACCACGUGGAUAAGGGGGCCAAGUCCAUGGCCCAUGUUCCACUGCCUUCUCGUGUCUUAGCAGAGAGCUGCAUUGGAAGUGGAGCAGCUGGGACUCCAACCGGUGCCCAUAUGGUAUCUCGAUGUCAUAGGCAGAUGUUCAACCUACUAUGCCACAGCGCCGCCCCAGGAUGUCGUCUUGUCCCUUCCCUUCCCUUCCCUUCCCUUCCCUUCCCUUCCCUUCCCUUCCCUUCCCUUCCC